CUAAGCUAAGUUACCCGGAUUCCUGCCUCAGUACUGUUUCCCUCGCCUCUCUGUUGUAGGCUGUCCUGUGAGAGAUGCCCAAGUGACAAAGAGCUGAAAGCUAGAACUCAGGGAGAAGGGGCCUCUUAGCAUCUAUAGGCAUCAGAAACUGUGCCCACUAUGACAAGCCUUUGUGUGCCUGCUGCUCUUGCGCGCACCCACCGGCGCUGAAGACCCUGACGAUCGAGUCAACGGCUGUGAGAACUGAAGAGAACUGACUCAUACAUACCAUGCACAGCUUACUCUGAAAACUGUGGCUGAUACAGGAGGGCUUCUGGCAGGGGUACACAGAUCUCUGAAGUGAUCCUUUUAGCCUUGGCAAACGCAUCAGCACAGCGGCCUUGUUCAUUUUGUGCCAGGUCAAGAGCAAGCUCGCCCCUCGUGGACCCUCAGGCUCACGCAGUCUUGGUUCUGGGGAGCUGUCCUAGCCCUCUCACCAGAGCGUUCUAUCUCCACUACAAUCCCCCCCUCCUGUUUGGGCUUGUCCAUUUCUACUCCAUUCCCAAAAUACCCCAGGUGCACAUCAUAC